CAGUAGCCGCGGUAAAACGAAGGGUGCAAGCGUUAAUCGGAAUUACUGGGCGUAAAGCGCGCGUAGGUGGUUUGGUAAGAUGGAUGUGAAAUCCCCGGGCUCAACCUGGGAACUGCAUCCAUUACUGCCUGACUAGAGUACGGUAGAGGGUGGUGGAAUUUCCUGUGUAGCGGUGAAAUGCGUAGAUAUAGGAAGGAACACCAGUGGCGAAGGCGACCACCUGGACUGAUACUGACACUGAGGUGCGAAAGCGUGGGGAGCAAACAGGAUUAGAUACCCCUGUAGUCCCUGUCUCUUAUAA
rnacentral:rRNA from 1 species